rnacentral:tRNA from 1 species
UCCUGUGUGGCUCAGUUGGUAGAGCAUUGUGCUUGCAACACUAGGGUUGUGGGUUCAUUUCCCACGGGAG